UACAGAGGGGGCGAGCGUUAAUCGGAAUUAUUGGGCGUAAAGCGCGUGUAGGCGGCUUAGCAAGUCGGGCGUGAAAGCCCUCAGCUCAACUGAGGAAGUGCACCCGAAACUGCUGAGCUUGAGUGCCGGAGAGGAUGGCGGAAUUCCCCAAGUAGAGGUGAAAUUCGUAGAUAUGGGGAGGAACACCGGUGGCGAAGGCGGCCAUCUGGACGGUAACUGACGCUGAGACGCGAAAGCGUGGGGAGCAAACAGG
rnacentral:rRNA from 1 species